ACGCUCGACACCUACGGAGGCAGCAGUGGGGAAUAUUGCACAAUGGGGGAAACCCUGAUGCAGCGACGCCGCGUGAGCGAAGAAGUAUUUCGGUAUGUAAAGCUCUAUCAGCAGGGAAGAUAAUGACGGUACCUGACUAAGAAGCUCCGGCUAAAUACGUGCCGAGUAGCCGCGGUAAUCUGAGCGGGCUGGCAAGGC
rnacentral:rRNA from 1 species